GACGAACGCUGGCGGCGUGCCUAAUACAUGCAAGUCGAACGCAGUGGGGGCGGGUGAGUAACACGUGGGUAACCUCCCAUCAGAGGGGAUAACACUUGGAAACAGGUGCUAAACCGAUAUUGGUGGAUGGACCCGCGGUGCAUUAGCUAGUUGGUGGGGUAACGGCUCACCAAGGCCACGAUGCAUAGCCGGCCUGAGAGGUGGAGCGGCCACACUGGGACUGAGACACGGCCCAGACUCCUACGUGAGGCAGCAGUAGGGAAUCGUGGGCAAUGGACGAAAGCCUGACCGAGCAAUGCCGCGUGAGUGAAGAAGGUUUUCGGAUCGUAAAACUCUGUUGUUAGAGAAGCGGUAUCUAACCAGAAAGCCACGGCUAACUACGUGCCAGCAGCCGCGGUAAUAC
rnacentral:rRNA from 1 species